CAGAAUUCGCCUUAGAGUUUGAUCCUGGCUCAGGAUGAACGCUGGCGGUAUGCUUUACACAUGCAAGUCGUACGAGAGUUUUUAACUCAAGUGGCGGACGGGUGAGUAACACGUAAGAAUUUGCCUUUAGGAGGGGAAUAACAACUGGAAACGGUUGCUAAUACCCCAUAUGCUUUCGAGUAAAAUGGAUUUUCCGCCUAAAGAGAAGCUUGCGGCUGAUUAGCUUGUUGGUGAGGUAAUGGCUCACCAAGGCGACGAUCAGUAUCUGGUUUGAGAGGACGAUCAGACACACUGGAACUGAGACACGGUCCAGACUCCUACGGGAGGCAGCAGUGGGGAAUUUUCCGCAAUGGGCGAAAGCCUGACGGAGCAAUACCGCGUGAGGGAUGACGGCCUAUGGGUUGUAAACCUCUUUUUUCAGGGAGGAAUCAAUGACGUGUACCUGAAGAAUAAGCAUCGGCUAACUCCGUGCCAGCAGCCGCGGUAAGACGGAGGAUGCAAGUGUUAUCCGGAAUCACUGGGCGUAAAGCGUCUGUAGGUGGUCAAAUAAGUCAACUGUUAAAUCUUGAGGCUCAACCUCAAAAUCGCAGUCGAAACUAUUCGACUAGAGUAUAGUAGGGGUAAAGGGAAUUUCCAGUGGAGCGGUGAAAUGCGUAGAGAUUGGAAAGAACACCGAUGGCGAAGGCACUUUACUGGGCUAUUACUAACACUGAGAGACGAAAGCUAGGGUAGCAAAUGGGAUUAGAUACCCCAGUAGUCCUAGCCGUAAACAAUGGAUACUAGAUGUUGAACAGAUCGACCUGUGCAGUAUCAAAGCUAACGCGUUAAGUAUCCCGCCUGGGAAGUAUGCUCGCAAGAGUGAAACUCAAAUGAAUUGACGGGGAAGGGC
rnacentral:rRNA from 1 species